AGGAGAUAAAGCAGAAAAACAGCGAUGAAAGGAGAAAAUGUGACGAGGAAGAAGAGCAGAUAAUUCUGUAAGUUGUUUUGUGUCUCUUUGUGGUUGUUUUUUGUGUAUUUAUGGUUGUUGUGCAUCUCUUUGUGGUUAUUUUGCAUCUUUUUGUGGUUGUUUUGCAUCUCUUUGCGGUCAUUUUUCGUCUCUCUGUGGUUGUUUUUUGUUUAUUUCUGGUUUGGUUGUUUUGUGUCUCUUUGCGGCUGUUUUGUGUCUUUGUGGUUGUUUUGUGUCUCUGUGGCUGUUUUGUGUCUUUUGUGGUUGUUUUUUGUCUUUGUGGUUGUUUUGUGUCUAUGUAUUUGUUUUGUGUCUUUUUGUGGUUGUUUUGUGUCUUUUUGUAUUUGUUUUGUGUCUCUUUGUGGUUGUUUUGUGUCUCGUUGCAGUUGUUUUGUGUCUCUCUGUGGCUGUUUUAUGUGUCUCUGGUUGCUUUGUCUGUCUUUGCGGUUGUUUUUUGCCUCUCUGUGCUUGUUUUUUGUUUAUUUCUGGCUGUUUUGUGUCUCUGCGGUUGUUUUGCAUCUUUGUGGCCUCUUUCUGUUUCAUCUGUUAAAUAUGGUGUCUGGCCGAUCAGAAGCCUCAUGUCGGAGCUCCGGAGGGAAUGAAAGGACGGAUGAAGGAGGAGGGAGGGAACACUGAGGAGAUAAAGCACAAAAACGGCGAUGAAAGGAGAAAACGUGACGGGGAAGAGGAGCAGAUAAUUCUCUAAGAGCAGAUCGGAGGACGGACGGAGGAGAGACGAGCUCAGAAUUAAAUCUGGUGUCAAACAAAAAGCUGCUUAAUGGUCUGUGAAAUAAACAACAAACAGAGACACGUGAGCAGAAUGAGGACCAGGCAGCAGAUCUGAGCUGUUAAGACGUCUGCUGACCUUCUCUGAGGUGAAGCUCCAACAGCUGCAGCUCUGAAGAUACUGAGGUUUUACAGUAACACGCCUCUCUGAGGGAUUUAAAGGUCACCGCCGCUAUCUGAACAUUCAGCAUUCACACCGCUCCAAGAUAAAACGGUUUAAAGGCGAACCGAGGAAAUCUAGAAGAACUGAACCGAGGAAAUCUACAAGAACUGAACCGAGGAGACGAAUAAACCGAGAGAUCGAGCGAAGCUGAACGUUCAGAAGGAUUUCUACUAAACUGUCACCAGUAAAAGAAGCUGAAUUAUCAGUGAGAAGCUCCAGUGUGUCAUCAGUCCUGUAUGUCCAGUACAGUCUACUGCAGUCUUUAAACGGUAGUCUGACACAUAGAAUAACCAAAACUAGACACAAAACAAAACGAGAUACAAAACAGCAAGGACACAGAACUGUCCUAAACACACACAACCCAACCAAAAAUGAGACGCAAAACAACACAAAAUGAGAAAAACAUGACAGAAAACAACAAAAAUCUGAUAAAGAAUGACUGCAAAGAUGCAAAACUGACCCAAAGACACACAAAACAACACAAAAUGAAACACAAAACAGCACAAAUUGAAAAAACACAAGAGACAAAAUAAUAUAAAAUGUGACAAAACAGCAUAAAAGACACAGAAAUGUCCUAAAGACACCAAAAAAACCAACAAUGAGACACAAAACAACACAAAAUAUUUUUUAAAAAACACGAGAUAAAACGACACAAAAUGAGAAAAAUGUGACGGAAAACAUCAAAAACAAGAUAUAAAACGACCACAAAGAUGCAAAACUGUCCCAAAGACAUAAAACAACUAAAACAAGACAACAUUAAAUGAGACACAAAACAGCAUAAAAGACACAGAACUGUCCAAAAGACACCAAAACUACCAAAAAUGAAAAAUAACAAGAGACCUAACGACAAAGAAUUUGAAAAAUGUGACAGAAAACAUCAAAAACAAGAUACAAAAUGACCCCAAAAACACAAAACUGUCCCAAAGACAAAUAAAACAACUAAAACAAGAAAGAAAAGAACACAAAAUGAGACACAAAACAGCAUAAAGGACAAUUAACUGUCCCAGUCACAUAAAACAAUCAAAACUGAGACACAAAUCAUCACAAUUUCAGAAAAAUGUGACAGAAAACAACAAAAAUCAGAUAAAGAAUGACUGCAAAGAUGCAAAACUGACCCAAAGAUGCACAAAACAACACAAGAUGAGACACAAAACAGCAUAAAGGACACAGACAACAACAGGACAAAGACUCUCCUAAAGACACAUAAAAUUACUGGAAAUGAGACAAAAACGUGACAGAAAACAACAAAAAUCAGACACAAAUUAACCACAAAAGUGCCUAACUGACCCAAAGACACGUAAAACUAAUAACAAAAAAAGACAAAACAACACAGAAACUGUUCAGACUUCAGAGGGUUCAUUUAUAUUUGUGUUUCCAUGUGGUUGUUUCUGACAUUGUUCUAAUUAAAUAUAAGUUACAGCAGCUUUAGAAAGCUCAGAUCUGAAAAUAGGACACAGAUUCCAGAAAGUUUAAUGAACCUUUUAGCUGGUUGUGAUUUUAAAUUCAUAGAAAAUCAGCGGCUGAACGUCUGCAGAGGAAACGAGGAGAACAGAACGGAGACUCUGUUCGCCUCCACAGCCCAACUCAUAAAGUUUAAUUUAAAGCUGAGCAAACAAACCGAGGGCGGAACCUCAUUCAGCAGAUUCAUAAAGGAAACGAGCAGCGAGGUCACCAGGUUCAGAGCAGGACGCCUCAACUCGGACUGGAAUUAAAGAGAAACUUUCACCGAGACGACGAGGAGAAACGUCUGAAUGAAAGGCAGCAGAGAGAGGAACGAAAUCAUCCAUCAGAGAAAACAUGAAGACGUUCUGCUGCACAAAGCUGCUCUAACUGGAUUCAUCUGCUGCUUCACAAAUAUCUCAUAAUACCAAGGAACACAACAUGUAGUCAUCUGGAACUGAAGCAUAGAGGAUUUACUGGAGGAUCAGAACCACAAAAUCAGACAAAAAAAGGCAAAAAACAAGACAAAAUAUUACAAAAAUGAGACACAAAACGACCAAAAUAGACAAAUGAUGCAAGCGAGACAAAAAACAAGACAGAAUGACAAAAAUGAGAAACAGAACGACAAAAACGUGAGACAAGCAACAAAAAUCAGACAAAACAAGACAAAAGAUUACAAAAAUGAGACACAAAACAACAAAAGAACAAUGAGCAAUCUAGUAUUUUACUUUAUGAUCAAAAUGACAAAAAAAAGACAAAUAACAACAAAAACAAGACGAAAUAUUUCAAUAACGACACAAAACUACAAAAACACGAGACAAACGACCAAAGUCAGGCAAAAAAAAGAAUAAAAACAAUACAAAAUAUUACAAAAAUGAGACACAAAACGGAAAAAAAAUAGACAAAUGACGCAAGUGAGACAAAAAGGAACCACAAAAUGAGACAAAUGAAAAACAUAAAAACAUGAGACAAGCAACAAAAGUCAGACAAAAAAGACAAAAAAACAAGACAAAAUAUUACAUAAAUUAAACAAAAUAACCACAACUCCAAAUCUUUCCUUUGUUUUAGUGCAAAAAAAUACGUUUAAGGAAUUAUCUACUAAACACCAUGAACAACCUGAAAUUGCACCAGAAAAAUAAGUUAAAUUUCAGCAACAUUCAGCCUCAAUUCAUCAUUUCCACAUUACAACUUCCAGAUCACAGAGUGUCUACAACGGAACACAACAUUAGUCUAGGUUCGCCCCCCGAUCUUUGGCUCAUGAAAGCCAAAGGUCGGCAACUUGAGCGGCUUUACAGAAAAACUGGUCUCACUAUUCACAAAGAAAUGCACAAUAACCACAUCAUACGCUGUAAGGACACCACUGCCAACACCAAAACCCACUACUACUCCAGUAUGAUCUCUGCAAAUGAAGGAAACAGAAAUCACUCAGAAAUCCAUCCACCUUAGAGCUGGACCCUCACCCCCUCACACACCUGGUGCCGACCCCUCCAACUUCAACAACUACCGUCCUAUCUCCAAAUCUACCUUUCAUCUCCAAAAUCCUGGAAAAAAACUAUUGCCUCCCAACUCCGCUCUCACCUAUGCCAUAAUAACCUGCAUGAACAGUGCAGUCCGGUUUCCAUCCAAUCCACAGCACAGAAACAGCACUCAUCAGAACCACCCACGACCUCCUGAUGGCAGCUGAUUGUGGACUCCUCACCAGCCUUUGAUACCGUCUACCACCCUCCUCACCAGACUACCUUCCACUGGCAUCACGCACACUCCAGAAGACUGCUUCACCUCUUACCUCUCUGGCCGCACUCAGUUCAUGCAGCUCUAAUCCUUUAAAUCCAUCCCUUCUCCCGUCACCACAGGUGUUCCCCAGGGUUCUGUGCUGGGGCCCCUCCUCUUCAUCAUUUACCUCCUUCCUCUCUGCAAUACAAGGGGUCCUUGACUUAGGUCGGAAUUCUGUUCCUACAGCGCAAGAUAAAAGAAGAAUUGGCAUCAGAGGAUUUGAUCUCUGACUGAACCGAAGCUGCCUGAAGGAAGAAAAUCAAUCUGGAGAUGAAAACCUCAUCUUUCUGCUCUGUUGUUGAAAACUGCAGGUGUUGAAGCGUCUCUGAGGAAACAACAGCUGGACGGAGGAGGAUGAAGGACACGGGGAGUCUGAAACAUCUGGAUGCUGAGGAUGAUGAAGAGGAUGAUGAAGGUUUGCCAGUAAAAACAUUUAAUGUUGGGAUUAUGAUUAAACUGUAGAUAUUGUUUAAGGUUGAUAUUAUUUAAUAAAUGCCACCUUUUGAACAGAAAUACACAUUUUGUUUACUAAUUCUACUUCCAGCUACUGUCUAUCAUCGUUUUCUGAAAGUUUAAAACCAAAAAGCAUCAUUAUUCACUACUGUUAGCCAAACAACGAUAGUGCUAGUCGCUACGUUAGCCUCAGCAAGUAAUGUGUUAGCCAAAACACGAUAAUGUCCGUCAUUACGUCAGACCAGUUCAAGUAAUGGUAGCUGCUACAUUAGCGUUGGCAAGCUACAUUUGUCACUACAUGGCCUAACUGAGAAAAAUUAGCCACUACGUUAGCCUGAACAGCAACAUUAGCCACUGCAUUAGCCUAAACAAGAUAAUGUUAUCCACUAUGUUAGCCUGAAUGAGAUAAUGUUAGUCCAUUAAAUUAGUCUAAACAAUCUGUUAGCCGUUACAUUAGCCUAAACAAGGAUUGUUAGCCUCUAUGUUAGCCAAAACUAGAUAACAGUAGCUGCUCUUCAGUGCUAGCAAGCCACAUUUGCAACUACAUGUCCUAAGUAAAAUUAGCCAUUAUGUUAGCCUGAACAGCAGCAUUACCAAAUGCAUUAGCCUAAAUGAGCAAUGUUAGCCCAAAUGAGCUAAUGUUAGUCAAUACCAUAGCCAGAAAAAGCAAUGAUGGUCACUAUGCUAGCCAUAACGAGUAACAUUAGUCACUGCAUUAGCCUAAACAAGUAAAAUUAACCACUACAGUAGCUUGAACUAAAAACAUUAUCCAAUAAUCCAAACAACAUGUUGGCCACUACAUUAGCCUAAACAAGGAUUGUUAGCCACACUGUUAGCUGAAACAAAGUAUUGUUCACAACUAUAUUAGCCAAAACAAGAUAACGUUAGCCACUUUGUUAGCCUCUAUGUCAGUAAAAACAUGAUAAAGAUAGCCACUACGACAGUCACUGUGCCAUCUGAAACAAAAUUAUGUCAAAACAAGAUAAUUCCAGUCGCUACAUUCAUCUGAAAAAGUAAUGGUAGCCGCAUUAGCGUUAGCAAGUCAUAGCUGGCACUACGUAAGUAAAAUUAGCGCUUAUGUUAGCCUGAACAGCAGCAUUAGCCUAAACAAGGAUUGUUACCUACAAGCUGAAACGAGGUAUUGUUAGCAACUAUAUUAGCCAAAACAAGAUAAUGUUAGCCACUGUGUUAGCCUGAAUGAGAUAUUGUUAGUCCAUUAAAUUAGUCUAAACAACACGUUAGAGACUACAUUAGUGAAAUUAGCGCUUAGGUUAGCCUGAACAGCAGCGUUAGCCUAAACAAGAUGUAAGACCAUCUCAGCAUUUUCAGGCUGCUGCCGCCAUCAUUGUUGCCAUGGUUACAGAAGCACACUGCACCAAAAUACACACAGAUUUAUCCCAGAAUGUUGCCCUGAACUGAAUCUGAAUCCGUGUGUGUGUGUGCGUGUGUGUGUGUGUGUGUGUG